GAUUGGUGGCCUUCUUGGCCACAGUGUCCACAAAGUGAUUGAGUUUAAAACCUCUACUGAUAGGAGGAAAAGUGCCAACAAAACCUCAGCUCAGGCUGCUCAGGGAACUAGUAAAUAAGGUCCCCUGGGAAAACGUUUUUGCAGAUGUUGGGGUCAAUCAGGGCUGGUCACUUUUUGAACAUCAUCUUCUAAGGGCACAGGAGCAGGCAAUUCCCAAAUGCCGGAAAUCAAGCAGAUGAUGGACCAAGGGGGUCUCAGUGCCCUGAGCUGAAGGACCAUGACUGUGAGAAUGACCAACUCCCAAUUGAUCCUGAACCUGUGCAGAAUCUGCUGCUCCAGUUGGAUCCCUACAAAUCUAUGAGCCCUGAUUGGAUUUAUUCCAGAAUCCUCAAAGAGCCAGCUGAUGUCAUCACAAAACCUCUAUUGAUGAUUUCUGAGCGGACUUGGGAAUCUGGAGAGGUCCCAGCUCACUGGAAGCUGGUGAACAUUGUCCCAAUUUUUAAGAAGGGCAAGAAGGAGGACCCUGGAAACUACAGGCCUGUCAGUCUCACUUCAGUGUCUGCUAAAGUUAUGGAGAAGGUUUUUCUGGGAGGUAUUGAAAAACACCUGAAAGACAAUGCAGUCAUUGGUCACAGCCAGCACAGCUUCAUGAGAGGAAAGUCCUGCUUGUCAAACCUGACUUCCUUUUAAGACAAGGUCAUCCACCUGGUUGAUCAAGGGAAGCCAGUUGACGUAAUAAUUUUUGACUUUAGCAAAGCUUUCA